GCCGGGCGCGGUGGCGCGCGCCUGUAGUCCCAGCUACUCGGGAGGCUGAGGUGGGAGGAUCGCUUGAGUCCAGGAGUUCUGGGCUGCAGUGCGCUAUGCCGAUCGGGUGUCCGCACUAAGUUCGGCAUCAAUAUGGUGACCUCCCGGGAGCGGGGGACCACCAGGUUGCCUAAGGAGGGGUGAACCGGCCCAGGUCGGAAACGGAGCAGGUCAAAACUCCCGUGCUGAUCAGUAGUGGGAUCGCGCCUGUGAAUAGCCACUGCACUCCAGCCUGAGCAAUAUAGUGAGACCCUGUCUCU
rnacentral:SRP_RNA from 1 species